rnacentral:rRNA from 1 species
AGAGUUGAUCAUGGCUCAGGAUGAACGCUGGCGGCGUGCCUAACACAUGCAAGUCGAACGGAAAGCUACCGCUUCGGAGACUUCGGUCAAUGUUUGGUAGUUUUAGUGGCGGACGGGUGAGUAACGCGUGGAUAACCUGCCAUAUACAGGGGGAUAACAGUUAGAAAUGACUGCUAAUACCGCAUAAGCGCACGGAAACGCAUGUUUCAGUGUGAAAAAACUCCGGUGGUAUAUGAUGGAUCCGCGUCUGAUUAGCCAGUUGGCGGGGUAACGGCCCACCAAAGCGACGAUCAGUAGCCGGCCUGAGAGGGUGAACGGCCACAUUGGGACUGAGACACGGCCCAAACUCCUACGGGAGGCAGCAGUGGGGGAUAUUGCACAAUGGGGGAAACCCUGAUGCAGCCGACGCCGCGUGAGUGAAGAAGUAUUUCGGUAUGUAAAGCUCUAUCAGCAGGGAAGAUAAUGACGGUACCUGACUAAGAAGCACCGGCUAAAUACGUGCCAGCCGCCGC